UACGGAGGGUGCAAGCGUUAUCCGGAUUCACUGGGUUUAAAGGGCGCGUAGGCGGCGGGGUAAGUCGGGUGUGAAAUCUCAGAGCUCAACUCUGAAACUGCACUCGAUACUGCUCUGCUUGAGGACUGGAGAGGAGACUGGAAUUCACGGUGUAGCAGUGAAAUGCGUAGAUAUCGUGAGGAAGACCAGUGGCGAAGGCGGCGACCUGGGUAGAUACUGACGCUGAGGCGCGAAAGCGUGGGGAGCAAACAGG
rnacentral:rRNA from 1 species